rnacentral:misc_RNA from 1 species
GAUGAAGAACGCAGUGAAAUGCGAUAAGUAGUGUGAAUUGCAGAAUUCAGUGAAUCAUCGAAUCUUUGAACGCACAUUGCGCCCCUUGGUAUCCCGAGGGGCAUGCCUGUUCGAGCGUCAUUUCACCACUCAAGCCUGGCUUGGUGUUGGGCGACGUCCUCUUUGGGGACGCGCCUCGAAACGCUCGGCGGCGUGGCACCGGCUUUAAGCGUAGCAGAAUCUUUCGCUUUGGAAGUCGGGGCCCCGUCUGCCGGAAGACCUACUCGCAAGGUUGACCUCGGAUCAGGCAGGGAUACCCGCUGAACUUAAGCAUAUCAAUAAGCGGAGGA